UGUAGUUGGUGGGACUAACAACCCUGAGCGCAGCGGAUGCGUUCAGCUCUCCAGAGGUGUGCGUGCCGAUUACGGCGUUGGGCCUGUGACAUUGAACCACACAUUGGCCUCCUAUGCUCAGAUUUGCGCAAACUCAGCAAUUACAACUUGUGAGAUGAAGGAGCUGCCCGUUGAAGCGUACGGCCAAAACUUCACCGUGGCGUCGGGGACGAUGACAGCGGAGAUGGUGGUGUUGUAUUGGGCGAGGGAGAGCGAGUUCUAAGACUACAAGUCGAAGAAGUGCAUCGGGGGCGAGUGUCGCCAUUUCAAGGCUUUGGUGUGGAGGGACACCGAAUCCAUUGGUUGUGCAAUGGUGAACUGCAGAAAAUAUUUAGGGAUCAUGUGGGUGGAGUUGUGAAGGGCGCAUCUCGGAGAAAAUCUUUAGAAAAUUUAAUGCAAGUUAGACUCGUGACCGAAGUCAACACCCAAAUAUACCCUCCGUUAGCUCCAUCAACAUCAGUGGCACAAGUCGUGGAGCACGACAAUGGUACUCCGGAAUAUUUACACAAGAGUAUGAUAUUGUGCGCUUUAGGCAUAACUUUCAUAGCUUUUGGUUUCAUCAAAAAGAUCUUAUACUAGUAGAGAUAGUUGUCUUCGUGUUGGGAAUGCGACCAAAGUCCCACAUUUGGCUAGAUAAGUAAGAGACAACAUCUCUAUUGGUAUGAGAUCUUUUUUUUAAGACUAAAUGCAAAGCCAUAAGACUUAUGCCCAGAGUGAACAAUAUUCAUCAUUGUGAAA